GAAUCCAUAAAUAUGAGCGGAUUCAAUGUGAUCUAUAAGGCUUAAUAUAAGAGUAAUUCAAGAUUACCCUGUAAAACCAAGCUUUCAUUACAUGAAACCAUUUUCAAAUCUUUGUUAAUGUAGGUGGCCAUUUUAUGUCAGUUCCUCAGAGAAAUUGACUACAAAACAGCGUUUAAAUCUCUGCAAGAACAAAACAGGUAUGAAUAAUUUUUUAAAAAUAAUGAGGUCAACAUUUUUCUGCUUAAGAAGUAACUGAAUUCUGUCUUUCAGUCAUGAUGCUAUGGACUCCUACUACGACUACAUAUGGGAUGUUACCAUUUUGGAAUACUUGACUUAUCUUCAUCAUAAAAGAGGAGAAACAGAUAAAAGACAAAUUGCAGUAAGUUACCUUAUGCCUUUCUUCAGUGGUAUAGUUUCCAGAAUAUUAAACAAUUGUUAAGAUGUGAACCAACAAAAAAUAGAUUUUUGUGUACCUAGUUACUGCCAGAAUUUUAUUAUCAGUGUUUACUUUAUAAAAGAUCCUUUUUUGAUAAUUUU
rnacentral:sRNA from 1 species